rnacentral:rRNA from 1 species
CGUAGGGUGAGUAAUGCAUUGAUAACCUACCUUUGAGAUGGGAACAACAACGUUCCAAGUAAUUGGGGCUACCGAAAGGGUUGCUAAUUCUCAAUAAAAAUGCUGACACUUUGGUGUCGGCAGUCAAAGAUGUGGAUCUGAAAAGGUCCAUUUGCUCAGAGAGGGGUCAAUGUCCUAUCAGCUAGUUGGUAGGGUAAUGGCCUACCAAGGCGAAGACGGGUAGCCGGCCUGAGAGGGUGGUCGGCCACACUGGGACUGAGACACUGCCCAGACUCCUACGGGAGGCUGCAGUCGAGAAUCUUUCGCAAUGCCCGAAAGGGUGACGAAGCGACGCCGCGUGUGGGAUGAAGGCCUUCGGGUUGUAAACCACUGUCGGGAGUUAAGAAUUGUAGGAAUGCUAAUAGUAUUUCUACUUGACUAAGGCUCCGGAGGAAGCCACGGCUAACUCUGUGCCAGCAGCCGCGGUAAUACAGAGGCGGCAAGCGUUGUUCGGAAUUAUUGGGCGUAAAGAGCAUGUAGGCGGCUAUGUAAGUCGGUUGUGAAAGCCUUCCGCUUAACGGAAGAAUGGCGGUCGAAACUGCAUGGCUUGAGUGCGGGAGGGGAGAGUGGAACUUCUGGUGGAGCGGUGAAAUGCGUAGAUAUCAGAAGGAACGUCGGCGGCGAAAGCGACUCUCUAGACCGUAACUGACGCUGAGUGUGC